rnacentral:rRNA from 1 species
UACGUAGGGGGCAAGCGUUGUCCGGAUUUAUUGGGCGUAAAGAGCGUGUAGGCGGCUAGGUAGGUCCGUUGUGAAAACUCGAGGCUCAACCUCGAGACGUCGAUGGAAACCAUCUAGCUAGAGUCCGGAAGAGGAGAGUGGAAUUCCUGGUGUAGCGGUGAAAUGCGCAGAUAUCAGGAAGAACACCGGUGGCGAAGGCGGAUCUCUGGGCCUUACCUGACGCUGAGGCGCGAAAGCUAGGGGAGCAAACAGG